rnacentral:lncRNA from 10 species
AAUAAAGAGACCAGUGGGGCUGGAACAAAGGUGGCCAAGACCACUAGCUGCGCUCAGAGAGGUACAGGCACGCCAGGAACAGCCUCCCUAAGACAAUGCGACUGGAUACAGUACCCAAGCGUAAUGAAAGAUGUCAAUUCUUUGAAAUCCGUAGAAGUUUACCCAGCCGUGGGUGGUUUGGCACCAGGUUUCUCAUUCACUCCACAUCCACCAAGUCACUUCAUCGACCCAACCAUGGCAAGUGGCAGGGGCAGAGGGAUAUGCUAGUCUGGAGCCAGAAACUACAUCCUCCCCAGUCAGUGCUCCCCACAACACCAAGCUCCAGGAACCUAAGGCGCAGGCCUGCACCCGGCCUAGGUGAGCCCAACCUGCGAAGUCCCCGAAGGAGGUGCAAGGGUCGUCAGAACAAUAAUGCAAUAUUAUCUUUUAUAUGUCAGUGCAGGUGUAACAACUUUUAUCCUGUGCAGAGUCUAAAAUUAGGAACAGAAAACACAUAACUCGAAUACAUCUGCAAUCAAAUCUAAUAAAUUUAGGUUUGGAAUCUAAAUUAAUACACUCAAGAGCACUCUUUCAACUACUAUAUAUUAU